rnacentral:rRNA from 1 species
CAGGACGCAUGUCGUGUCGGGAAAGAUUCAUCGGUAUGGGAUGGGGUCGCGUCCUAUCAGCUUGAUGGCGGGGUAACGGCCCACCAUGGCUUCGACGGGUAGCCGGCCUGAGAGGGCGACCGGCCACAUUGGGACUGAGAUACGGCCCAGACUCCUACGGGAGGCAGCAGUGGGGAAUAUUGCACAAUGGGCGCAAGCCUGAUGCAGCGACGCCGCGUGCGGGAUGACGGCCUUCGGGUUGUAAACCGCUUUUGACUGGGAGCAAGCCCUUCGGGGUGAGUGUACCUUUCGAAUAAGCACCGGCUAACUACGUGCCAGCAGCCGCGGUAAUACGUAGGGUGCAAGCGUUAUCCGGAAUUAUUGGGCGUAAAGGGCUCGUAGGCGGUUCGUCGCGUCCGGUGUGAAAGUCCAUCGCUUAACGGUGGAUCCGCGCCGGGUACGGGCGGGCUUGAGUGCGGUAGGGGAGACUGGAAUUCCCGGUGUAACGGUGGAAUGUGUAGAUAUCGGAAAAGAACACCA